rnacentral:rRNA from 1 species
UACAGAGGCCUCAAGCGUUGUUCGGAAUUACUGGGCGUAAAGGGCGCGUAGGCGGCCUUCUAAGUCGAACGUGAAAUCCCCGGGCUCAACCCGGGAACUGCGUCCGAUACUGGAAGGCUUGAAUCCGGGAGAGGGAUGCGGAAUUCCAGGUGUAGCGGUGAAAUGCGUAGAUAUCUGGAGGAACACCGGUGGCGAAGGCGGCAUCCUGGACCGGCAUUGACGCUGAGGCGCGAAAGCCAGGGGAGCAAACAGG